GCCAUAUGAUGCCAUAUAGAUGACAUUAGCAUUUUUGUGUAAAGAUGACCACCUAUCUAUCACCCAAGACUGAUGGCU